ACGAACGCUGGCGGCUGCUUAACACAUGCAAGUCGAACGGAGUGGCGAACGGGUGAGUAACGCGUGAGCAACCUGCCUAUGACAGUGGGAUAGCCUCGGGAAACCGGGAUUAAUACCGCAUAGUCAUAGAAGGGCUCGCGUCUGAUUAGCUAGUUGGGGAGAUAACAGCCCCCCAAGGCGACGAUCAGUAGCCGGUCUGAUAGAAUGAACGGCUACAUUGGAGCUGAGACACGGUCCAAACUCCUACGGGAGGGAGCAGUGGCGAAUAUUGCACAAUGGGGGAAACCCUGAUGCAGCGACGCAGCGGGAACGAAGAAGGUAUUCGUAUCGUAAAGUUCUGUCCUAUGGGAAGCAGUACCAUAGAAGAAAGCUCCGGCUAAAUACGUGCCAGCCGCCGCGGUAAUUC
rnacentral:rRNA from 1 species